AGUGAACGCUGGCGGUAGGCCUAACACAUGCAAGUCGAACGGCAGCACAGUAAGAGCUUGCUCUUACGGGUGGCGAGUGGCGGACGGGUGAGGAAUACAUCGGAAUCUACUUUUUCGUGGGGGAUAACGUAGGGAAACUUACGCUAAUACCGCAUACGACCUACGGGUGAAAGCAGGGGAUCUUCGGACCUUGCGCGAUUGAAUGAGCCGAGGUCGGAUUAGCUAGUUGGCGGGGUAAAGGCCGACCAAGGCGACGAACCGUAGCUGGUCUGAGGGGAUGAUCAGCCACACUGGAACUGAGACACGGUCCAGACUCCUACGGGAGGCAGCAGUGGGGAAUAUUGGACAAGGGGCGCAAGCCUGAUCCAGCCAUACCGCGUGGGUGAAGAAGGCCUUCGGGUUGUAAAGCCCUUUUGUUGGGAAAGAAAAGCAGCAGGUUAAUACCCCGCUGUUCUGACGGUACCCAAAGAAUAAGCACCGGCUAACUUCGUG
rnacentral:rRNA from 1 species